AUGAACGCUGGCGGCGUGCCUAAUACAUGCAAGUCGAGCGCACGGACGAGAAGCUUGCUUCUCUGAUGUUAGCGGCGGACGGGUGAGUAACACGUGGAUAACCUACCUAUAAGACUGGGAUAACUUCGGGAAACCGGAGCUAAUACCGGAUAAUAUUUUGAACCGCAUGGUUCAAAAGUGAAAGACGGUCUUGCUGUCACUUAUAGAUGGAUCCGCGCUGCAUUAGCUAGUUGGUAAGGUAACGGCUUACCAAGGCAACGAUGCAUAGCCGACCUGAGAGGGUGAUCGGCCACACUGGAACUGAGACACGGUCCAGACUCCUACGGGAGGCAGCAGUAGGGAAUAUUCCGCAAUGGGCGAAAGCCUGACGGAGCAACGCCGCGUGAGUGAUGAAGGUCUUCGGAUCGUAAAACUCUGUUAUUAGGGAAGAACAUAUGUGUAAGUAACUGUGCACAUCUUGACGGUACCUAAUCAGAAAGCCACGGCUAACUACGUG
rnacentral:rRNA from 1 species